GCUGGUCAGGGGGACCUGGCUCCCAUGGGAACCGAGUCCACAGGCCUCGCUGAUAGAGAAGUGGGGGCUCUGCCGAGAUUUGGGGCUAAGCCCUCCAGCCUGCUUAUGGGGAAAAAAACCUCUCAACCCAGACUGGGAGAGGAGGGUUUACUUGCUUGCCCGACUUGUGUUUUUUUGCUGGUAAUAGUUUUCAUUGACUGGGGAGUAAAACUGCUCUCCUCUCCUGAACUGACAGAGCAGGACUGGUAAGGGUCAGCUUUGAUUCUGGUCUUCCCUUUGCUCAUCAUUUUAUUUGAGUGCCGUGAGGACAUUCCCCUAUCAGGUUCUUAGAUUGCCCUGAGGGAAGCCAGAUGCCAUGCCGUGAGCUGCCCUAUGGAAAGGCCAAUAUGGAAAAGGACUGAGGAAGGCCUCCAGCCAAGUUAGUGAAGAACUGAGGUCCUGGGUUCAACAGCCCAUGAGGAACUGAAUCCUGUCAAUAGCCAUGAGUCCCACUGAGCUGGGCUGUUUCCACCAUGGGCCUCCCUCCUUCACACCUUGCCAUCCUCUAGAAUGCCUGAGCCCAGGCCUCCUGCCCAUCUCUCGAAGCAGCUCUCCGAGGCCCCUCCUGUAGGGAGGCACCCCUUCACCCCAAGUCACAGCUCAUCUGCCAGCUCCUUCUGGCCCCCCGACAUGCUGGCCUUGGUCAGAUGGGGCUCCAGAGGUUCUGUUUAUGCCACCAGUGCCAGCCACACAGGACCUGUCAGUGAAUAGGCAAGAAGCCCUGCCUAACUGGAGCAGAGUUUGG
rnacentral:lncRNA from 1 species